rnacentral:rRNA from 1 species
GCAAGUCGAACGAGAAGGUACUUUCGGGUACUGGACAGUGGCGCACGGGUGAGUAACGCGUGGGAAUCUACCAUGGAGUGGGGGAUAACAGUUGGAAACGACUGCUAAUACCGCAUACGCCCUACGGGGGAAAGAUUUAUUGCUCUAUGAUGAGCCCGCGUUAGAUUAGGUAGGUGGUGGGGUAAUGGAGUACCAAGCCUACGAUCUAUAGCUGGUCUGAGAGGAUGAGC